UAUCCCUAACAUUUCAAAUAUGCAUUUGGCAGUCGCUUUUAUCAAAAACGACUUACAUUGCUUUAUCCUAUACAUUUUACAUAGGUAUUUGCAAUCCCCUGGGAUCGAACACACAACCUUGAGUUGUUAACGCAAUGCUCUUACCACAAAGCUACAGGAAAGCCUUUUUAAACCCAUAUCUUAUUUUCAGAGCACAAAUAGUGUUUAGAGUCACAUGACUGUGAUUAAUUGACAGUUCACUUUUCUCACUAGACAGAAACAAACUAAUAAUGAACCUUGAUAGCUGUGGAGACUGUCAGACCAGGUCUGCUCUUGUUCUUCCCAGAUUGACAGAUGCUGUUGCUGGUGGACAAAUGCUGGUGACAGUCAAGGAUCAUUAGUGACAUUCAUUUAACUAUUAGAUUUUGAUCUUUUACACUGUUCGAAAUUAGGAAUUUUUAUUCUUUCAUGCUUUUCGUCUUCACAGAGAUCUUUCUUCCUCACAAUAUUGCAUGAGAACUAUGAGUUGCUUAAACAACCUCUUUAAAACAAGGAAAAGUGAACAACAUACACGUCAUUGUGACUUCUGUGAUGUAUCAAAUACUCUUAUAAAUGGACAAUUCAUGACUCAUGAAGAAUUCUUGCUUUGUGUCGGGUCCAUCCUUUCUCUGGCUGUGUUUCCUCCAUUACUUUAAUACACUUCAGUAACUUGUCAGUGUCCUUAUAUGGUGGCCACCAGGAGUAGCCAUCUGAAUACCAGGACUUUGCAGCUGGUCCAGUCGUCCCUUCUCCCUCAAACUCCACGAUCAGGUACAUUUUUUUUUUUUGGUAAAGUUGAAAGGACGAAACCUGUAUUUUUAUUAGUGGUGGGCAGUGAGACUAUUAUCGCGCGAUAAAAAAAAUGUCGCCGUUAAUCUAUUCUCAAAGUUGGGUUGGGAGCUGGGUCUAUACUACGCAAGCUAUGAUGACUUCCACCUUGAUAUUUUAGCGCGGAUGUAUACCAGCUUAACUGCACUGUACGGGGCGAGAACGAGAUUUUUCAACUCGCGUGAUUCGCGUGAUUCGCGGAAGCAGAAGCCGCCUCAUCAUCUCAUAACCAGGGCUUCAUUCGCGCGAUUCGCACAGCAAGUAGGUCUGUUGGCUCUUUGCAUUAACAUAUAAAUCACUCGUGCUUGACACGCCAUACGCGUUUGGUCUGAACACAACAUAACGUUACUGUGAAAUUACCGCAUCAAACGUGACGUGCUAACAUGGAUGCAGCUAUGAAGCCGCCGGGUUUGCUUCAGGGAAUAUUAAUUUUUAAGAAGCUUCCCAAUAGAAACUUCGACAAGACUAAGGUUGUUUGCACCUUGUGCAAUGCGGAAUUGGUUUAAAAAAAAAACUUUCUCUCAACAGGUAGUGGUCUAGCUUUAGUUGAAACCAGUAACUUUGUAUUGAGAUCUAAUGUAUUAUGGCUCCUGUAUGACAUAUCGCUUGUUGCUCCCUCACUCUUUGUAAGUUGCUUUGGAUAAAAGCGUCUGCUAAAUGACUAAAUGUAAAUGUACUGUAGGAGCUCUUCCAGUCUCAAGUACCACCUAAACGCAAAGCAUCCCUUAGCUAUUGCGGAAGUAACACAAGUACAUCUUAUUGAACAUAAUUGAAUUUUCAUCACAAAUUAUCAUAGUAGAACAGCUUUCUCAAGCAGUUUGUGAUGCAUUUUGGAAACAGGAGAUGAGCCCCUGGUCUAAUGCGCCACCUGGCUUGAGAAACCCGUUCUCAAAGACUUACUUUUAGUCAUUAUUUGGGUAGCACACAUAUUCUGAAUGCCUUCGGCAGAAUUCAAAUGAGCCAUUUUAAUCUAGAUUAAUCUAGAUUAAUCUUGGAAUUAAUCUAGAUUAAUCUUGGAAUUAAUCUAGAUUAAUCUAGAUUAAAAAAAUUAAUCUAUGCCCACCACUAAUUUUUAUUAAGAUUUUUUUAUUAUUGAUUAAUGUUUAACUAUGUCUAUCAAAUUCAAACUAAGUAACUUUAACUAUAUUAUAUUGCCAACACUAUAUGACCCCCUCUAAUGAACUACUUCAGUCAUUUCCGUGAGUACAAAUUCCGUGAGUUAAAAUCGCAGGAUAUCAUGAUAUUGGAAAUUGUGUGCUUCUAAUUUAGUACCGUGUGGAAGGGACACUUUUCUGUUCCAACCUGACAAUGACCCUGUGCACAAAGCAAGAUUUUAAAAGAAAUUCAGUCGAUGGGGACGAUCUGCAUAAAGCCCAGAGCUAAACUCAACUGAACAACUUGGUGUGACUAUACAGAAAGUUUAAGCAUAAACUCAACUUGAGCCAAAACUCAAUCCAACAUCAAUGGCUUGUGCACAGUAGUCGUCAUUUUGGGACCGAAAAAGGCACUUUCGAAACUUUUCAAAAAUUGUAUUUCUGCAAACACAGAAUUUUGUUUCCAUCUCGGUUGCAAACGUUUUGGAAGAACCCUAUUCUGUUCCAAAAUGGGUCUACCCCUGUUUACAAGUCAUUGAGUGAUGAGUUUUUUUGCAUUUAAGUCUACAUUUAAAGUCACACCAAAGGUGUUCAGCUGGGUUAAGGACUUGGCUUUAUGCAGACCAUGAAUGUUCUUCCCCAUCGACUGAAUUUCUUGCUUUGUUCACAGGGGCAUUGUCAUGUUGGAAUAUAAAAGGGCCCUUCUCAAACUGUUGCUAAAUUCGAAGCACACAAUUCCCUAGAAUGUAGAUUGUAUAGAUUUACUCUUUAUGUAAAAGAGGAAUUGAAACAAAGCAACUAUGAUGGGGAACAAGGAAAAUUUUGCUCUCUAUUUCUUCAAGCUUGCAGAAAUUGACUGCUGUGGAGAGGUUGUCAACUAUGUAUAUGCAUAGAGUAGAGGAUGUUAGGGGAUAGUCAAAAAAAGAUUCCUGGUGGUUGAAGGUACUGUAGGCAACAUAAAUGUCAUCCCUGAAUGAAAUGAUGUUCUUCAGCUUAGCAGCUUUACCACUGAUGUAAACGAGAUCCAGCUUGAAAGUGUAAGAGCUUUUUCUUAAUUCUUUGUAUUGUGCUGCUUCAUGAAAAUUUGCAGGGAUAGGACCAGUUGCAUGUAGUUUUCUCAACGCGUAUGGUCUAGUUUUGUGAGUUUUUGUACAGCAACUUUGCAUUUCACAGAAUCUUCUGACUAUUUGACUCAGGGGGCACGUUGGUUUCCUCGGAAGUCUUUCCAGUCUGUACAGGUGAUUCUCGUAUUUGAAUGCGCUGAAUUUGUCCAGGAUGUCAUGCUGUUUUGCAUCGUCUGCAAGGUGUACAAGGGAGUGUGCAUUGUAGGACAGGAAUUUUGGACCAUACAGCUGACCAAAGUGGGUGACAAAUAGAACCAGUAUGUCAUUGGCAUAAUCACAGUAAUGUUCUAUUAAACUGUUGUUACACAGGAUGAAAAUUCCCACAAAAAGCAACAUGGAGUUUUUGUACACUUCUGUGCUGAGGAGAUCUUUUAACAUGACCGGUCCGGUAUACAGUAAAAACUGCCUCAACUCUGUUGCCUUCCACCUAUCAAUUUCUCUCAGUGUCCUUGGUUUCCUUGCAAACUCCAUGGGUACAUAACUCUGUGCACUCAACAAUCUUUCUGUUAAGGUGUUAAUUUGAAAUCCUGACAGUCUUCAAGUAAGAGGACCUAACCUUAACCACAAGUGGAAAAGCCGCCUCAUGAUUCCAAGACAUACGAGGUGCAUGUAAUCAAGGGGGAACCCAGAGACCAUAUCUAGAGAAGUUUGUUCUAGAGGUAAAUGCCUUCCUGUGUGCAUUUUUCACAUCCGUGAUAGCCUGUGUGUCCUUUUACAUUUUUAAGGAAUGCACGGGCAGGUGCAUCGCAAACCAUGCAAGAGAGCUCUAAAAACAACUUCACACCUUCAAAUUCAAUCCCUUAGCAAGUUCAUUGACUUCAGAGAUGAAGUCUUCAAGAUACUCAUCCAAUGAGGUGGGUUUACAGGUGCCACAAAAUAAACCUAUUGUCACAGGUUCUUUGUGAGGUAGAUUUUGCACUGUACCUAGAAUGGGCCAGAACUGUUUUGCUGAACUUUUGAAGAGAGGCAAACCAUCAAUGUUGACCUGAAGCUCCAACUUGUUGAUGUUGCUCAACAUGUAGAUGUUCUGGUGUAGCACUUCUGUGAUUGACUUCAGCACACCAUAAUGGUAAUACUUGCCACCAGCCUUGUCCUGUAGUUCUGUGGAUCGCACAGUUCCUAACAAUGUCCUAGAGUCUUUUGGCAGAGUUAAAUUGUGUUCACGUAGUAUGUGAAGUAGAGAAUUCAAUGCCACAUGUGUGAUUUUGUGUUCAGUAGCCCAGGUUGCCAAAUCAUCCUCCAGGGAAGUUGAAUCAGAUUCAGAUUCUGAAUCGGUGUCCGAUUUGCUGUCUUCAAGAACAGUUGCCAUAUAAUCAGUUUCUUCAAUUUGAGAGAGACAGUCCAUAAAUACAUCAUCGUCAUUUUGACAGGUGCUGCUGCCAGACUCUUCUGCCCAUGGUAUUGCUUCUAUUGACUGCAGUUGUUUUUCCACUUUAUCUUUUGCCCUUCUCCUUAGUGUCCAGUAAGAUGGUUCAUUGCAUGCCAUACUAUCAUGAUAUUAACACAAAUACAUUGCUUUUGUUUUAUUUCUGACCUAUCAAUGAUUGUAAGUUUACACAAAUGAUCAUCAUACCUUUGGUAGGUGGAUUGGUGGCUGUGGAUAACCUUCUGCAGUCAGACAGUGCUAAAAUGUAUAUUCAUUUGUAUAAUGUAUAUCACUUUCAAUUAGGUUUUUAUUUUACAAAGUUUUUUUUUAA